rnacentral:sRNA from 1 species
GCUGGGCACCGUGGCGCAUGCCUGUAAUCCCUAGCAGGUUGGGAGGCUGAGGCAGGAGGAUCUCAAGUUAAGCCAGUCUCAGCAACUUAAUGAGGCCCUAAGCAAUUCAGCAAGACCCUGUCUCUA